UAAAUGUCUAGAUAUCAGCUCCAAAUCUGCUCUGCUGGGGAACAUUUACCUCAGAUUCUUUGGUCAAUUUGUCCAUUUGUUAAUUUUGUGUCAUUUUUUGGUAAUUUAUACAUCUACAGUCAUGGAAACAUUCUUGAUAAGAACCAAAAUUAUUCAAUUCAAUUAUUCAAUAAAACCAUGGAAAAUGUCUAGAUAUUAACUCUUAAAUUAAACUCUUAUCAGCCAUUUUGUUAUCAUUAUGUGUCCAAACACAUGUAUCUUUAGUUGUACCAGGCAUUAAAAUGAACAAGAAAUUGAAGAAAAAGGUGAUCUGACAUUUUUUUCCAUGACUGUACGUGAAUGGGUUCUGUUUCAAACAUUUAGUUAAGUACUAAUAAUUUACAGGACACAUAGAUUUUGUUUCAUAUACACAUUAUCUAUUUGACCGUGACAGGGUCUCUUUUUGUAGCGUGCACAAUAAGCAACUUUUGUACAGUCUGUUCCUAAACUUUUCUUUCUUUUGAGCUCCCCAGUGUCUGAGAUUCCACCCACCAGACUGGUUCCUGGCUGUCUGCUGGGCAAAGGUUGACACCUGGAGCAGCAGAAGUUUUAUAUUGGACUCUACCACUCUUCACCAUGUCCGGGGGAGCUUCUUUCAUUGUUUAGGGUUUCCGUAGCUGAUGGCAUUUAACAUUUAUUUUGCUUAGACUUGUUAGGGCUGUUAUGUUACUUGAUUUCAAUAAAUGAGAUUAACAUACA